GGUAACUUGGCCGAGCGGUCUAAGGCGCCAGACUCAAGCUUAAUAAGCUUCAUCCGUCCAGCGGAUGCGCAUUCUGGUCUCGCAAGAGGCGUGAGUUCGAAUCUCACAGUUAUCA
rfam:Colletotrichum orchidophilum strain IMI 309357 Scaffold_32.1, whole genome shotgun sequence.